AGAGUUUGAUCCUGGCUCAGGACGAACGCUGGCGGCGUGCCUAACACAUGCAAGUCGAACGGGGUAGCAAUACCCAGUGGCGGACGGGUGCGUAACACGUGAGGAACUUGCCUAUCGGUGGGGGAUAGCCGGCCCAACGGCCGGGUAAUACCGCGUACGAUCCUCGGGGGGCAUCCCCUGGGGAUGAAAGCAGCAAUGCGCCGAUAGAGGGCCUCGCGGCCUAUCAGCUAGUUGGUGGGGUAAUGGCCCACCAAGGCGACGACGGGUAGCUGGUCUGAGAGGAUGAUCAGCCACAUUGGGACUGAGACACGGCCCAGACUCCUACGGGAGGCAGCAGUGGGGAAUAUUGCGCAAUGGGCGAAAGCCUGACGCAGCGACGCCGCGUGUGGGAUGACGGCCUUCGGGUUGUAAACCACUGUCGGGAGGGACGAAGCUCUGACGGUACCUCCAAAGGAAGCACCGGCUAACUCUGUGCCAGCAGCCGCGGUAAUACAGAGGGUGCAAGCGUUGUCCGGAAUCACUGGGCGUAAAGGGCGCGUAGGCGGCCUGAUAAGUCGGGGGUGAAACGCUGCGGCUCAACCGCAGCACUGCCUUCGAGACUGUUGGGCUUGAGCACGGUAGAGGCUGGUGGAAUUCCCGGUGUAGCGGUGGAAUGCGUAGAGAUCGGGAAGAACAUCGGUGGCGAAGGCGGCCAGCUGGGCCGUUGCUGACGCUGAGGCGCGACAGCGUGGGGAGCAAACAGGAUUAGAUACCCCGGUAGU
rnacentral:rRNA from 1 species